AUUGAACGCUGGCGGCAGGCCUAACACAUGCAAGUCGAACGGCAGCACAGAAGAGCUUGCUCUUUGGGUGGCGAGUGGCGGACGGGUGAGUAAUGUCUGGGAAACUGCCCGAUGGAGGGGGAUAACUACUGGAAACGGUAGCUAAUACCGCAUAACGUCGCAAGACCAAAGUGGGGGACCUUCGGGCCUCACACCAUCGGAUGUGCCCAGAUGGGAUUAGCUAGUAGGUGGGGUAAUGGCUCACCUAGGCGACGAUCCCUAGCUGGUCUGAGAGGACGAGCAGCCACACUGGAACUGAGACACGGUCCAGACUCCUACGGGAGGCAGCAGUGGGGAAUACUGCACAAUGGGCGCAAGCCUGAUGCAGCCAUGCCGCAUGUAUGAAGAAGGCCUUCGGGUUGUAAAGUACUUUCAGCGGGGAGGAAGGCGGUGAGGUUAAUAACCUCGCCGAUUGACGUUACCCGCAGAAGAAGCACCGGCUAACUCCGUGCCAGCCGCCGCGGUAA
rnacentral:rRNA from 1 species